rnacentral:rRNA from 1 species
AUGAUGAAGGCUGCACAAUCUCGCCCUUGGUCAGAUCUUCCGCCAGAACUCCUGGGACUUGUUCUCAAGCGCCUCCCUUCCCUAGCUGACCGUGUUCGUUUGAGAGCUGUCUGCCACCCAUGGCACUCUAAUAGCAGGUUGCGGACCCUUCCUCUCCCAUUCCCGUGGCUCACUCUCCCUGAUGGCACCCUCCUCGGCAUUCCAAGCGGUGAAAUUCACCACAUAUCUUUACCGGAAGGUGCGUGUUGCCAGGGCUCCAUUGACAACUGGCUAUUCCUCAUGCACAAUCAUGGUGUGUGCUACUUGAUGAACCCUUUCUCCAAGACCAGGUUGCAGCUUCCUAAGCUAGCAAAGGUAUGGAAGCGUGAGAUAUAUGAUCCCGAACCCCGAAUUAACCCAAUUUUCUACAACUUGGUGGUGCCCUUUCCACUUGACUCGUCACCCUGUUCCCUACUUGCUGCACUGAUCAUGGAUGAUGGUAACUGGGGUACACUUUGUAUUAGUCAAUCACCGAUUGUCACUGACUCAUUCAGAGAUGAUAAGCAUCCAGCAAAGCUCCUCUGUAGUGUUGCGUUCUUUGAUGGCAAGCUGUACGGGCUGGGGGGGUUUGACCAACUAUUCAUCUUUGAAUUAGACAAGGACCUUGGUAUUUCAUCCAUGGAGUGUAUAAUUGACUCUAUGGGUGAGUUAGGUGGAAUACCUCAAUCGUUGUCGGAAGAGAAGGCGUAUAUGAUAAGGCGGUAUCUAGUUGAAUGUGGCGAUAGACUGUUGAUGGUGAAACGGUGGAUUCAUCCUAUUGCCCGUUCAACAAGUGAUGACUUUUUCGAGCAUAACCGUACUGUUGCACUUGGGGUUUUUGAGGCAGAUUUGGGCACCGAUCCUGCUGGAUGGAGAACAGUAAAUGAUUUGGAUGGCCAUGCGCUCUUUCUUGGCCAGCAUAGCUCCAAGUCCCUGCGCGCUGGAGAAUGCAGUGGAUACCAAGAGGACUGCAUCUACUUCAUGUGUGACUAUUCCUGGCCAAAGCAUUCUGCAAAUCCUCUUCGUGAUGCCGGUGUUUACAACAUCAGGAAUCAGACAUUCAUGCCACUGAUGUCGGGGACUGCAGCGGUACCGCCACAUCAUGCUGGCCAGUGGCGUCCGACAUGGUUUUUCCCUCCUGAAGCUGUGUGA